rnacentral:misc_RNA from 1 species
CGCAUAUUGCACUCUAUUUCGGUAGAGUAUGCCUGUUUGAGAAUCUAUAGUAUCAUUUCUCGAUAGUUUUCUUUUGAAAGCUUGAGAGAGAGUUGAGCUUUCCCUUUCAUUAGGGAUGCUUUAAAUAUAUAUAGAUCCUCUUUCUAAGAAGCCGUACUUUUGUACGCUCUAAAGUUGAGUAAAAGUGUUUGCAUGAAACCUAGUUUCUCAAUACGCCUAUUAUCCUUCUUUGGAGAGAGUGUUUCUUAGAUAUUGGAGAACCAAACCCUAGAGAUUGGAUUUAUUCAAUCUUGAACCAUGGUCUCAAAUCAGGUAGGAAUACCCGCUGAACUUAA